rnacentral:rRNA from 1 species
CCUACGGGGGACAGCAGUGGGGAAUAUUGGGCAAUGGGCGCAAGCCUGACCCAGCGACGCCGCGUGAGGGAAGAAGGCUUUCGGGUUGUAAACUUCUUUUCUCAGGGACGAAGAAAGUGACGGUACCUGAGGAAUAAGCCACGGCUAACUACGUGCCAGCAGCCGCGGUAAUACGUAGGGGGCAAGCGUUAUCCGGAUUUGUUGGGUGUAAGGGGCGUGUAGGCGGCAGAGCAAGUCAGAUGUGAAAUCUCAGGGCUCAACCCGGGGUCUGCAUUUGAAACUGGGUUGCUUGAGUGCUGGAGAGGUAAGCGGAAUUCCGAGUGUAGCGGUGAAAUGCGUAGAGAUACGGAGGAACACCAGUGGCGAAGGCGGAUUGCUGGACUGUAACUGACGCUGAGGCGCGAAAGCGUGGGGAGCAAACAGGAUUAGAGACCCCAGUAGUC